GACGAACGCUGGCGGCGCGCCUAACACAUGCAAGUCGAACGAGAGAGAGGGAGCUUGCUUCCUCAAUCGAGUGGCGAACGGGUGAGUAACGCGUGAGGAACCUGCCUCAAAGAGGGGGACAACAGUUGGAAACGACUGCUAAUACCGCAUAAGCCCACGACCCGGCAUCGGGUUGAGGGAAAAGGAGCAAUCCGCUUUGAGAUGGCCUCGCGUCCGAUUAGCUAGUUGGUGAGGUAAUGGCCCACCAAGGCGACGAUCGGUAGCCGGACUGAGAGGUUGAACGGCCACAUUGGGACUGAGACACGGCCCAGACUCCUACGGGAGGCAGCAGUGGGGAAUAUUGCACAAUGGGGGAAACCCUGAUGCAGCGACGCCGCGUGGAGGAAGAAGGUCUUCGGAUUGUAAACUCCUGUUGUUGAGGAAGAUAAUGACGGUACUC
rnacentral:rRNA from 1 species